UACGUAGGUGGCGCGCGUUGUCCGGAUUUACUGGGCGUAAAGAGCCCGCAGGCGGCUUGAAAAGUUUUAGGUGAAAUCUCCCGGCUUAACUGGGAGGGUGCCUAGAAAACUAUCAGGCUUGAGGCAGGGAGAGGGAUGUGGAAUUCCCGGUGUAGUGGUGAAAUGCGUAGAUAUCGGGAGGAACGCCAGUGGCGAAGGCGGCAUCCUGGCCCGGUCCUGACGCUCAGGGGCGAAAGCGUGGGGAGCAAACCGG
rnacentral:rRNA from 1 species